UUGACACAGAAUAACUAUCAAAAUUAGCGAUUUUGGUAGCUCUGUUCGUGCAAGCUGGAGCUUCUUUUUAGUGAAGUAUAUUUCAUUUGCAGUGUCAAACAUUAAUUUUAUGCUAUUAAGUUAGUAUUGAUUACUGUAUAUUCCAUCUGCUUCCCACAGCUACUAUGUAGCAAUUACUGGGGAGAAAAACCAUACAAGAAACAUUA